rnacentral:tRNA from 1 species
GCGCCCAUAGCUCAGUGGAUAGAGCAAAGGUUUUCUAAACCUUUGGCCGCAGGUUCGAGUCCUGCUGGGCGCG